rnacentral:sRNA from 1 species
UUUCUACGCACACAUGGAGACAUGAAUGAGGCAAUGAGUCAUGCAUCGAUGAAGGGGACAGUAUAGAAACAAAUGAGAGUGGCUGUUGGGUGCGGCUGUGCAUGAGACCAGCAGGGACAAAGGUUCCAGGCAGCGGGUCGGUGUGCAAAGCCACGUGUGCAAGGGAUCCACCUGGCACAGAGCAUCCAGAGGGAGCGCUCUCCAUACAAACCCCACGCGGCUGGAAGCUGUGCACAUCCAACUACAGUUCUCACUGAGCUGGACUGCAAGGUGCCGAGCGGUGGGCUAGGCACAUCAUGGCUAUUUUCAAAAUAGAUGCUAUUGCAAGGGAGUCAGCGUGAUCCCAGUACAGUAGAGGGUGGUACUGGGAUGUGGAGUUCUCGAGGGACUUGCCAAGGCCACCAGAAGCAAGGCUCGAAGCAAGAAUCUGAACUUGUGUAUCUGGGUCCAAAGCCCAGUGUUCCCCUCUACUUGACUCAUCCCACAUCUACUAAAGCAACAUCUGGAAACACCCACUCGGCUUCUCUGCUGCAUUGUAAGGAAGGAGAACAUUCUGGAGAGUUGUACACUGCCCAGGCCCAGCAGAGCCCCAGGGACUCCGUUGGUGGGCUGAGAUAGGGCCAACGAAUCUGUAUUUUUCUUAAGUCCCUAUUGACAUGGAGCCUGGUUUGAGUCUUACCGUCCCUCAGCUGUGUGAGAAUGGGGCAGUAACUGAAGAUAUAGGGAAGGGCUCUUUGUCCACUGUGGCAUUACAGUGCUUAUGCACUCACCUGACUAUACCCCAGAAUGAAGACGCCACCCCUGCCCUUCUGGGUCUCAACCGUACCUGCUAGGUGAUGCCAUUCACCCUCAAGGGCUCUGGAUCCCACUUCCAGCUAGUGUCAGGCCUGUGCUGUCUCACGAUAAGACAUACUAGACAGAGGAGAAAUGGCAGCGAGCCAGCUCUAGGUUCUAGUCCUGCCAAGGGACCCAUCUGCCUCCUACCAGGCCUUAACACAAAAUACUCAGAAAUGAGGCCUUUUUAAUGCCACUUUCCUGAUGUGUGACUUUGGUACCAAUAUUAACUUCUCUUAGUCAUCCUUCCUACACUCUGGGGAUUAUAUCUGGGGAUUAUGGUUGCCAUGGGGUCAACUGGAAUGAUGCUAAGUGUAACAGUCGCCCCAUCCUGUAGCCUAUAUCAUACAUGGUCUGCUCUUCUCGAGCUCUGUGAGUGACUCACAUUUGUUCCCCACCCCCACUCCUAUCAGACCGGCUCUGUCAGCUCCCCUUGUAGCUGGUGGGGCAUGGCUCAGAGAAGCAACUUUUCUGAGGUCAUAUCACAUGGUGACCAGGUGGCAGAGUUUGUCCUGGAACCAGACUGGUUAGGGCCCAGAGCUCAGGGUUUCUGCUCCACAACCCUGUGCACUCUACCCAGCCUGACUUUUGCCUAUCACCUCCUCAAACCAAAUAGAGAGGACCAUCUGGAAGUCCCAACACCCCCGUGACAGUGGAGGAUGGAGUGACACUGGUUUGUAGCUGGGGCACUGAUAACGAGGCACUAGUGGGUCUUGCUCUGUGGAGGGUCACAAGAUACAACCUGAGCCCAUCACUACCAGGAUUUCCUGCCAUGAGCCUCCCACAGUGCCUGGGAGGUGUGCAGGGAUUGGAAGUCCCUUGAACACCUUCAUUAUUCUCUUUAGGUGGGUAGCGCUGAUAAUGAGAGGCCUGAGAGACAGGCAGAUUCUGAACUGCAUCACUCUGAGAAUCUAUUAAAGGGUGGUAACUGUUUACCUACAUAACCAGAAGGGAAAUAUGUGGAUCCCUCCUCUCUGCCCUUAACCCUCCCCAGGCCUGACCAGGCCCAUAGAUAUUAGGAGACCUGAUUUGGAUUGCUCCCCCAAAGUCAUGCUCCUGGCUUCAGACACACUGGUUUCCUUGCUUCUCUCAAACAAGGUAAGCCUGAACCGUUUGUCAGUAAAUAUUCCCAGAGAUCAUACCCUCUUCCAGAGCUAGGACUUCUUACAGGCAAACAGCAGCUCCCCAUCUUUAUCCCCAGCCACCUCUUGCUGACUCUUUUGCACUGGUUGGUACACACACGCACAUGCACUCGCACAUGCACACAUGUGCAUUGGCACACACACACACACACACACACACACACACACAGAGUGAUGUUGGAGAACAUUAUCUGCAUAGUAUGUUUCUUCCUCUUAUAAUUCCAGUUGUCCUUAUGUCCAGCUUGUUGCUAUGUGCCCAGAGGAGAAGACUGCCUGGUAUGUGCAUGCAGCCACUAAACAGAUCUGCGCUUUGGCGUGGCUGGGUUCGGGGUAAGCAGGAGGGGCCUGCCAGGCAGAUGGCAGACACACAGUCAGUGCCUAGAGACAGCAGCCGGUGGAGGGUAUUAUUAUCUCCUCUAGUCUCUUGUUUUAAGAAGGAAUUUUGGUCUCUCUUCAUCCUCACCCACCAUGCAGAGACCCCACAGAGUUGGCUCAGAGGACCUGAACAGAGUUCUGCUGCCUUCCUGCCCAGCCUGCUUCUGGAAACACUUGACAACAGCCUAUAUUCCAGAGAGUGCAGCCUGUAUCUCAUAAUCACCAAAAAGAAACAAAUAAGAGUGCUUUUUUGAAAGGGCCAAGAAAUAAAAAUCAGAGUGUUCAUGGUGGGAUAUUUCAAGUGGCCAGAUCAAGUGUGUGUCUAUUUACUGUGUGUCUAUCACGUGUGCACGUUCACGUGAGAUGUUAAUGUGUGCCACUGUAGUGAAUGUUGGAGGGUAACCUUGGGGCUGACCCUUGGGCAUCUUUUUCUUUCUUUGAGACAUGGUCUCUCACUGGCCUGGAACUUGCUAAUUAGGCCAGGCUGACUGGCCAGUAAGCCUCAGGGAUUCGUCUGUCUCUAUUUCCUCAGCAGUGGGAUUACAGUGUGUGCUUUCACAUCCUGGAUUUUUAUUUGAGUUCUGGGGCUCACACUCAUGUCUUCAUGCUUGGAAAGUAAGUGCCUGACUGACUGAGCCUUCUCUCCAGCCCUAUUUUAACUUUUACAAUUUAAAAUAGAAACAUGUUUAAACAGGGAAAGGGCUGACAAUCAUCACUUCAAAGCCCAGAGCCGGAGGAUAAGAGGACAGACAGGGAGAGGAGCAAGAUGAAGGACUUCUCAAGCUACCUGGCGAUGGGUCUCCUGGAAGUGCUUCUGACAGCAUGCCGUCAUGGGCAUUCCUCAUUUAGGUCAUGGCGGGAUUUGGGGACAGGGACACGGCCAUGGCUGAAGGUGAUGGUGAUUCAGAAGAUUGUGGUGAAAUAACCUUAUUCUAUACUUUUGAAACCUAGUUCUGGAUCAAUCCUGUGGUUGAUGAAGAAGCUGAAGUCCAUGGAGACAUGUGCCCUGAACUAAACCCACACAAGUCAGUGCAGUGGCAGAGCAGAAACUGAGUCACGGGUGACCUGAUUCCCAGCUCAAGGAUCCCCUAAAUUUUCUAACCCCCAAUACUUUAGAUGUCUAGCUCCUCUGAGAAAUCAAAGGCUCCUGGAAUUUUCCCAUAGGAACACAAGCUCUUGAGCUCACUUGGGGUCACAGCCCUGUGUGGCUCCCUGCUCACCUCUGAUGGCAGCUCAGGUAUGGACGCUUGACUUACGAUUAGGUGUGAUUUUGUGUGUGGGCGGUAUUUCUAUCUCAGUGUACAGACUUAGAACCUGAGGCUUGGCAAUACUUUUCAGGGUCACAUGGAAAGGAAAAGACAGGAACGGGGUUAAAGCAGGUGCCCUUGACUUUGGCCCUAGCUGCACUGGGUUUGGCUGGCAAGGGCUGUGCUAUUCUAGGAGCAGAGAGGGAUUUGGUUCCCCUUACACACAGAUGAGUCCCUGAGCAGCCUGAAGGAAGAGCUGCUGGUAUCAGCCGGGCAGGCGGAAUUUGCCUCGAAAGGGGAAAAUGAGUGGCUUUGGGAAGGGAAGUCCCCUACUUCAAGAGAAGUAGGUCUUCAGGAUGGCCCCAUCCGAUAGCCAGUCUGGUUACAUAAGCCAGUGUGCUGGGUUGUGUUUCUGUCCACAGAGCUCCGGGGCAGCCACCAUCAUAUCCGACUGCCAUCUGAGUGGUGUGGGACAGUAGGACUCAUAGCCUAUGUGUGCAGCUGACACUUCAUGAUGCACGGUGUCAGUGUCUCAGCCACACUUAUGAGGAGUAGAGAUGUACCUGAUGCUGAGAGACAUAAAUGAGGAAAGGAGACGAUGACGACGACGACGACGACGACGACGACGACGACGACGACGACGACGACGACAACAACCAACCCCUAGAUCUUGCAGACCACAGCUAUCCUCUGAAAGGCCAGUUUCACAAUGCUACUACUUAAAAGCUGUGAACUCUUAUUGACCAACUUCUGGGAUUCUGGCCUCAUGACCUCAGGAAAGGGAAUGUCUGAAUGAAGAUGUCAGGAUGAGCAGCUCUGCUUCCCUCAAAAGAAAUGGAGUGGAUUGCCUUCGUGGAGUGCUUGACAGAUAAAUCAGGGCCAGACCAGGAGGUUGAAGCCAAUGGCAGUCCAAUUUAAGAACCAGCAAACUGGAUCAUGCCACUCCCUGCCUUCAAGCCUGUGGAUGACUCCACUGCCCCCUGGAUAAAACCUCUCACCCUGCAGCCUCAGCUCCACCACUGCAGGCUAGUACCCACACUCUCCACUCUCACUCCAUGAAAGUUGCCAAGGGGAAGCCCAUCUUAGACCCCUCAUGAGGCUGUGUCAGUUACAGCUUUGCAAAUGCUGUUCUGAUUGGAAGGCCAUAUUUCCUUCAUCGCCAGGCUGACUCCAAUUAGAAGCUGCCUCCUCCAGGAAGCUUUCUGUGCCUCCCUUCCCCCUACUGUGAGGUAAAAGCUCUUCCUUCAGGUUCUUCAAGCCUCCAUAACUCACUAAGUCGUCUCCAUAUUCUUAAUGCACACAAGCAUACAGUUUGAUGGAAGGAAGGGGGCCCACAAAAAGUUUGUGAUGUGCCCAGUUUAGAAGGGGAGAGGACGUUUGAACCUGAAGUCAUUCAGCCCUAACCGUGGCGCUCACAAACCGCAUGAGCCUGCUCUAGGAUCUCAUGCCAUUUUAGCCAGCCUGUCGCUGUCACCUAGGUGUGCCAGAGUUUAGCACAAGAUGAAGCCAUUUCUUCAGAAUUUACUGAUGGAAAUAAAGGGGAGGGAGAGAAGGGAACUUGAGGGAUGUGAAUUUUCCUCCUGAGAGUACUCUCUGGGUGAGGAGAAUCAGGAAACAUGACCUGAUAAACUACCCUGACCUUCAGCGCUUGGGUCUGUUUCUAUAACACAGGCUGUCGCCUGCAGGAGCUCUGAGAACCGUGUCUUUAUUUCUUUUUCAUACUGUCUCCAGUUGCUUAUGAAAACAUAAAGUGUUUACAGCCACCUCAGUUACCAGCUGUGCCCCCCUGUGCAGUUUGGAGAAUAUCAGGUCAAGUGUAAAGAAAAGAUCGGGCUGCCCGGAGUACCUAAAGCCCUCCUUCCUCCUGACACUGGACAACAGCAUUCCAGGGCAGAAGCCUGUGAUGCUGUCUGUGGGUCUUCCCCCUCCCCACAAGGGAACAGUCACAAUAGAAAAGGAACAACACCAAGAAACAGGCAUUAUUUUUGCUUUAAAGCCUGGGGAUCUGUAGCUCUGCCUGGCUCUGUGGCUUAGCCAGUUGUCACAGUCCAUGGACAGAGAACCUCGAGCCUGGGUUCAGAGGCCAACCCAGGAAGCGCUCCAGGCUUUAUGGAGCUAGACGUGAAACCUUGCGGCCAUAGCACCGUCCAACCCAAUCAGGUCUCAGUACGGCACAGUGGCAUCUGGCUCACAUGAUAGCCACCUUCCUCCUUUAGGACCCAACAUACCUAAUGGGAGAAAAGGCCAAAAGCAUUCAGCUAAUUACCAAGGCCAGCCAGGGAGGUACCUUUUAUGAUUCACUACACAUCAUGUGUGGGCUUUUUUCUGAUUCUUGUUCAGGAUAUUGUGGGCAGGUAUUCUAUUCGUUAACAUCCUGAAGGCCAGUCAUACCGGAAACAGGAAGCACUCUUGUCCUCUUUUAGCCCUCUGUGAAGUACACAACUCUGCCCCCAGGUCACGGAAACAUGUCACUAAUACCAAUAAUGGUCUCAAAAUAUUAGAUGGUAGGCUGCUGAUUAUUCCAUUAAAACCAUUGGUACCGAGUGCCUUUGAGGCAGGAGGAGGAGGUACAGCUGCGUGUUAGGAGGAUGGGCAGGGACUGAAAUAGCUGUGGACUCACAGAAGUGACUGAGCUCGUCUUGUGGCAUCUUCCUAAUGUGAAAUAUCUCGGAGAUGCUAGUCCCAGGGGACAGUGUUCACAGAAGAAAGAGCUAAGAAAAUGAAUACAUGACCCAUCGCACCUGCACACUAGUUUUAGCUAGUUAGCUGUAUCACUGUGUUUCAGAAGGGGAAACUGAGGCGUGCAUAGGAGAGACCUGCUUUUGCUCCAUUGCUACUCAGUACAAAGACAGGACUGCUUGUGCCUUUAGUUUCACCUGUCUGUCCUGUCGAGAGCAACAACACUCUUCCCACACUUAACCUUCCCGUUUCCUUUCCCUGGCAAGUCAGGAGGGACCCUGCAAAUGCCACUGCUUCCAUUUGUAUUUGAGAGGAGUCUCUUUAGUGCUGCGCUCUUGUACAUGCAGCUCCGGGAAGUGGUGCCAGGUCUCUGCCCUUUGAUAGCCACAGCAUCCUACACUGCUUUGCAACAGCACAUGUUGGCGAGGGUGACAGACUGGCUAAGGUAUGAGAGCCCAGAGUAGGCUCUCAGGGCAUGUGUGUCGCAUAUGAGUUUCGUGACUCUGCACCCAGCAGCCCCAGGUUCAAAUCUCACCUUCCCUGCCACAGCCUGGCCACAUCCCAGGUCUUUUGAGUCCCUAUUUCCCUGCACCGGCCAGGUCACUGAUGCUGCUAAUCUGAUUUUGAUGCAGAAAGUGUGCACCUGGGCUCAAUCCCCAAGAGGAUUCUUUCCUUUCAGCUGUGGAAUAUUUUAUUUUUCCAAUUUCAGAAUCUACUUAUGUUAAAAAUCGGAAGAGAAAGAAAUCCAAUCAGCUCAGCUGAGGUAUGCGAAACAAAUGGUGCAGCCAGUACAGCACCUUAAUCAAACAGUUACAUUCAUAGCCACAGUGAUCAGAGCUCUGCCUAAUCUAUGCCUCCCAGGAUGUCCCGGGAAAACGCCUCUUGUCGAUGUUUGCAACGAACACCAAGACAGACGCUGAGGAGACAGCGUGGCUACCCACGCCCGGCAUCCUGGGAAGUCAGGGGCACAUGUGGACUUGCAGGCUUGUCCCUCAACCUGUACUCACACCUGAAUGCCAUUCUCUGCUCUUUCUUUUGGUUUUGUGGAGAAGAGAAAGACGGAAGCUUUCCUUCGGACCACACCCUUUGGUUUGUGGGUAUGGUAUGUGGGUAUGUGACUUGUCCCCCAGUCGCUUACUGGGAGGAAGGCUCAGCUGUUGGGGGAGGUGGAAUCUUUGGGACCUUAGUAGAAGUGGGUAAUUGUGGGUGUUAUCUCUUUCUGGUUCUAGUUCAAGCCUCUGCUUCCCAAUCUACUAAGAUGUAAACAAGUCACACCAUAAAUUCUCACGGGCAAGGCCGUAAUCCACUCCCGAAGCCAGGCCAUAAAGGACUGAUACUCUUUGAAACCAUGAGCAAGAUCAACUGCGCUCCUGAGUUGUUUCUGCCAAGGAUGUUAUCAUAGCAGCAAGAAAAGUAACUACAGUAGACAGUUAGUACUGGGGGUGGAUUAACUGCGGGAAAACUGACCACACGAUUCUUAGACCUUUAGAACUGGCUCGUGGAAUGUGAAAGCUUUUGGAACUGUGCAUUAAAGGAGCCGGAGAAUGCUGCAUGCAGAGCUUAGCCAUUGCAGUGGGGGUUCAGAAGACCAGAACACCCAUAGAAAAUGUGGGUAGUAAAGACACUGCUCAUGAUGUUUCAGAGGGGACCAGAGAUUCUAGUGGGACAUACGUCAGUGCUUGGUUCUCAGUACCAUUUUGGAAGGUGGUAGAGUUUUUGGAAUUACUGCCUAUUUAGCAAAAGCGUGUCUUUGGGGGCUGGCCUGGAUGGCGAUAUUUGUCCCUGGUUCUGCAGAGGCCGGAACUCCCCAUUUUCUGAUUUGAUAAAAUCUGAGCAAGUCACAUCACAGGCUGCUUCUGCCAUUGACUGAUGCUUCCGCUGCCACAACUUCCCUGCUACGAGGGACAGACCCAUCUCAAACCACGAUCAAAAAUAAAUCCUUCCUUCCUUGGGUUGCAUUGUCUUAGCAAGUAACUGACAUGUUGCUCCAAUCUGCAUAAGAGCCCUGUGGGGUGACGACUUCUAAGAGUCCCAUUUUGUAGCAGAAGAAACUAAAACACAGAGGAUUUUGUAGGUUGCCCAAAGCCAGGUUUGCUGGCAGAGACAGGAUCCAAACCUGGGUGUCCCCACUUGGAGUCUGUGCUUUUGAUAUUCAUACCCCACACCUUGACUGUCAAUGCAGAUCACCCAGCAUGCUGUGGGGUAACUUCUUCACUGCUAAUCAGAAGCCCUAACAUCUGCCGGUGCUGCUGUAGGAUGGUGGUUCUACUUUGGGUGGGACCUUUUGCAACAAUGGCAUUGCUCAUAACACAGUUGUUGGGGAGAUGUGAUUUGUAUGAUCCAGAAGUUGGUGUGGGGUUAUGGGUAAGUGCUAGCUCUUCUGUUGACUUACACUAUAAAGGUGUUAUGGAAGAGAGCGGAAACGGGGGAAUUUUUGUCCAUCUGGAAAUCGAGCAGAACUCACUUGACUGAGACUGUUUCUUCCCACCAUGCCUUUGCCCGUCACUAUAUAGGGUCUUUGCUUGCCUGCCAUUUCUUUCCACUUCUAGACUGGAGCAUCCUGUCCCUACUGUCAGUCAGUGAGCACCCUCAUCCUUCUGGCUUGGGUAUCUGACUCAGGCAGAGGUGUGUGACCCUGGUGUCUUUCCCAGCCUCCUCCUUGCUCCCUGAGGUUGAAACGUACUUCAGAUACUGAAGUGACACACACCCAUGCUCUUCCACAUUCUGCAUACAGACUCAGCUCUAUCUUUUGAAGGCCAAUCAUGCAUUGUGACCAUGGCCCUGAAAUCACAAGUGCCUGCCCUUACACAGGUAUAUACUGAUUCCUAUGCCCAUGAAAGUCCCUUAUAGGUUUGAGGGUCCAUUGAGAUAACUCUCAUUCACCGACAUGCCAUUUGUACCCAGUCUGACACUUGCCACAUCGUAGGUACAGAUGCUGGGUGAAUAAGCAGGCAGGAACAAAGUUCUUGGACUUCACUAACAUUUAAGCAAAUUUCAUGAGCGUGCUGCCCUACAAUAAAGUGUGUCUGUUUCUACUUCACAAAGUAAACGUCCUUCAAUGACCUGUGGCUAUCAAGUAAGGAAAAGGUGUCUCCUUCCAAGUGGACAGGGCAGGACCAGAACAGCUGUGCUUUGGGGCUUGGAGAUGGUGCACGACAGUGAAAGUCUGUGGGUCACGGUGACAUGGUUUGUGCUUUUAAAAAUAAAUAUGUAACAUUUGUUAUUUAUUCAAAGACUAUCAUAUGUGUAUACAAUGUAUUUCAAUCUUCGCCAUGCCCUCACUCCUCUCGUCCAGUUCCUCCUGCCCUUCCAACUUCCUGUUAGCUUCAGUUGUUGUUGCUUUUAGAACCCACUGAGUCUAAUCAGUGGUACCUGAACGUUCAUGGGUGUGGAGCCAUCCACUAGUACACAGGCAACACACCAGGGGCCACAUCCCCAAAGAAAAAUGACUCUCCCUUCUCCGGCUGGCUGCCAUCACUGCCUUUAACAACCCUUCAGCUAAGGGUCCUCGUGCACCCCUCCCCCAUCCUCGCUGGGAUUCUGCACUUUUUAGGCAGCCUCAGCUCCUGCUGUAGAACUCAGGCUCACUGCUACUAAUCACACUUACUCCCAUUGAUUUUUUUUUUUAUCCCCAAGGACAAACUACCUCAUCCCUCCUUAAUCUAAUGACUAAAAUUAGGGAAACAGAGCCAGCUGAUAUACAUUAGGCAUCGCCCCAGAAAGGAAGACUUCAAAUAAAAUAUGACCAAAACCCCUUUUAUGUCUCCAUUCUCUUAACUGCCCAUGCAAAUCAGGCAGAGGUCCUGCAAAUGCAAAAAAGAUGUUGGGAGCCGUGUAUAUGCUCAGAAUUCUUCUGUGGGCCAGGUCACCCAGGGAGCACCUCUUGGAGCUGUCCCCUUUUCUCAAGAGCUGGUGCUGAGUCUCCUGUGUGUCAGGUAGGCACAGUGGUUAAGACUUUACACUUAACCACUCCACAGUAUCGCACUGUGAAGAUCUAGAGCCAUUCACCCUAUUUCACACAGUAGAAAACUCUGCUCGCAGAAAUGAAUGGUCAGCCCCAGGUUACCCAGGAGGGAGUAGACUUACACCCAGGACUAAGUUCUUUGUCUUUCUCCUCAUUCCUCCCAUGGGCAACAGGCAGUCUUGUGAAGUCUGACUCUUACAAAAUGCAAUGGUCACGACCUGCUGCCUUGUUAUUUGGAGGACUAGAGAGGGAUGGUCCAGAUGCCCAGGCCUGUUUUGCAUCUGGAUAUGUAGAACCUGAUGUCUGGGCAGGGAAGGCCACAGAGGGGCAAUGAUGUUCGAACACAUGGGAAGUGAGCCUGAAGGAACUUCAGAAAUAACAUCUCUGUUCCUCCCUCUCAAGGACUCAAAUGUGGCAGUGAGGAAGAUUUCUAAAUGUCAAAGUCUCUGUGAAGAUUGUCUGCCCGCCUCCUUCGCACACACUUGAGGUCUGCGCUAUAAUUACAGACACUUCUUCCCUGGCCCUCCAUGUUUGCCUUGUGUGAGCCCAUCUGUGCCGGGCUGUACUCAGCGCAGGAAAGCAUUUCGGGCAGACUCCCGGGGAAACUGUUGUCCCGCAGACUGAUGGGGAAAGCUGGUAAAUUGUAGGUGAAAGGUCAAAGUUAGAAGAAAGGCAGCGGCUCUGGGAGCCUGGUGUGAGGAUGACAGCUCAUUACUCUUCUGGCCUUUCUCCAGUCCGAGAGCUGCAUCUUUCAGCUGGGAUCUCAGACUUCCCAAGGAUCAUGGGACUUCCAGGAGCCUCCAAAUUUACAGACCUUUCCCAUUUCCUAACCUCAAGG